UCCUCAAGAUCUUCCUCGAGAACGUCAUACGCGACGCCGUCACCUACACCGAGCACGCCCGCCGCAAGACCGUCACCGCCAUGGACGUCGUCUACGCGCUCAAGCGCCAGGGCCGCACCCUCUACGGCUUCGGAGGCUAGAUCUGCAGUGGAGCAACUUCCUCGUUUGCUCUGUGUGAUAUGUGCUGUGCUGGAUGGAUUUACCGAUCUGGUGUGCGUCGUUGUAUUCUGUCUUUGGGUUGAGUAGGCUGUGUAAUACCUUGUUCUGUUCAAUGCAAUCAGUUCGAUUCUGAAUCCUGACGAAAUGCUUCACUGUUGAAUUGUGAUUUGUUUUCUCUAAGACCGACUGAUUUGAUCUGUUUGGACAGUACAGCUACAGUGAAUCAGU
rnacentral:lncRNA from 1 species